UGUGCCAGCAGCCGCGGUAAUUCCAGCUCCAAUAGCGUAUAUUAAAGUUGUUGCAGUUAAAAAGCUCGUAGUUGAACCUUGGGUCUGGCUGGCCGGUCCGCCUCACCGCGAGUACUGGUCCGGCUGGACCUUUCCUUCUGGGGAACCUCAUGGCCUUCACUGGCUGUGGGGGGAACCAGGACUUUUACUGUGAAAAAAUUAGAGUGUUCAAAGCAGGCCUUUGCUCGAAUACAUUAGCGUGGAAUAAUAGAAUAGGACGUGCGGUUCUAUUUUGUUGGUUUCUAGGACCGCCGUAAUGAUUAAUAGGGAUAGUCGGGGGCGUCAGUAUUCAGCUGUCAGAGGUGAAAUUCUUGGAUUUGCUGAAGACUAACUACUGCGAAAGCAUUCGCCAAGGAUGUUUUCAUUAAUCAGGGAACGAAAGUUAGGGGAUCGAAGACGAUCAGAUACCGUCGUAGUCUUAACCAUAAACUAUGCCGACUAGGGAUCGGACGGGAUUCUAUAAUGACCCGUUCGGCACCUUACGAGAAAUCAAAGUUUUUGGGUUCUGGGGGGAGUAUGGUCGCAAGGCUGAAACUUAAAGAAAUUGACGGAAGGGCACCACAAGGCGUGGAGCCUGCGGCUUAAUUUGACUCAACACGGGGAAACUCACCAUGUCCAGACAAAAUAAGGAUUGACAGAUUGAGAGCUCUUUCUUGAUCUUUUGGAUGGUGGUGCAUGGCCGUUCUUAGUUGGUGGAGUGAUUUGUCUGCUUAAUUGCGAUAACGAACGAGACCUCGGCCCUUAAAUAGCCCGGUCCGCAUUUGCGGGGCG
rnacentral:rRNA from 1 species